UGGGGAAUAUUGCACAAUGGGCGCAAGCCUGAUGCAGCCAUGCCGCGUGUAUGAAGAAGGCCUUCGGGUUGUAAAGUACUUUCAGCCGGGAGGAAGGUGGUAAGGUUAAUAACCUUGGCAAUUGACGUUACCGACAGAAGAAGCACCGGCUAACUCCGUGCCAGCAGCCGCGGUAAUACGGAGGGUGCAAGCGUUAAUCGGAAUUACUGGGCGUAAAGCGCACGCAGGCGGUUGAUUGAGUCAGAUGUGAAAUCCCCGGGCUUAACCCGGGAAUUGCAUCUGAUACUGGUCAGCUAGAGUCUUGUAGAGGGGGGUAGAAUUCCAUGUGUAGCGGUGAAAUGCGUAGAGAUGUGGAGGAAUACCGGUGGCGAAGGCGGCCCCCUGGACAAAGACUGACGCUCAGGUGCGAAAGCGUGGGGAGCAAACAGG
rnacentral:rRNA from 1 species